rnacentral:misc_RNA from 1 species
CCUCCUUUCUAAGGAUAAAGUUAUCAUCUUCAGUUUUGAGAGACUUAAGAAAGUUUUUCAUUUUUUAAGAUUCGGGCCUAUAGCUCAGCUGGUUAGAGCACACGCCUGAUAAGCGUGAGGUCGGUGGUUCAAGUCCAUUUAGGCCCACCAAAAUAGGUCACAUCUUAAAAAAGCUCUUUGAAAAGUAGAUAAACAAAGGUUAGAAAAUUAAAGGAA